UACGAAGGGGACUAGCGUUGUUCGGAUUUACUGGGCGUAAAGCGCGCGUAGGCGGAUCGCUAAGUCAGGGGUGAAAUCCUGGAGCUCAACUCCAGAACUGCCUUUGAUACUGAAGAUCUUGAGUCCGGGAGAGGUGAGUGGAACUGCGAGUGUAGAGGUGAAAUUCGUAGAUAUUCGCAAGAACACCAGUGGCGAAGGCGACUCACUGGCCCGAUACUGACGCUGAGGCGCGAAAGCGUGGGGAGCAA
rnacentral:rRNA from 1 species